GUUUGCGCGCCCGAAUGAACUCAGAAAGUAUCUUUUGAAUAGUAUAAUGACAUGGGUUGGUUUGGUCGUGUAUGAUUUUCUUAAUUUUUUGUGGGCUGAUUAUGUUGGAUACAGCGGCUUCCUAUGGCUUUAUAUAUGAAUA